GAUGAACGCUGGCGGCAUGCCUAAUACAUGCGAGUCGAACGAGAGGAAGGAAAGCUUGCCUUUCUGAAUCUAGUGGCGAACGGGUGAGUAACACGUAGGUAACCUGCCCAUGUGCCCGGGAUAACUUCUGGAAACGGAUGCUAAAACCGGAUAGGUAGCAGACAAGCAUUUGACUGCUAUUAAAGUGGCUAAGGCCAUGAACCUGGAUUGACCUGCGGUGCAUUAGCUAGUUGGUGAGGUAACGGCCCACCAAGGCGACGAUGCAUAGCCGGCCUGAGAGGGCGGACGGCCACAUUGGGACUGAGACACGGCCCAAACUCCUACGGGAGGCAGCAGUAGGGAAUUUUCGUCAAUGGGGGGAACCCUGAACGAGCAAUGCCGCGUGAGUGAGGAAGGUCUUCGGAUCGUAAAGCUCUGUUGUAAGAGAAAAACGACAUUCAUAGGGAAUGAUGAGUGAGUGAUGGUAUCUUACCAGAAAGUCACGGCUAACUACGUGCCAGCCGCCGCUGUAA
rnacentral:rRNA from 1 species